AGAGUUUGAUCCUGGCUCAGGACGAACGCUGGCGGCGUCCCUAACACAUGCAAGUCGAGCGAAGUGCCUUAGACUUGAUUUUUUCGGAAUGAAGUCUUUGGUAUCUUAGCGGCGGACGGGUGAGUAACGCGUGAGAAACCUGCCUCUUACAAGGGAAUAGCCUCGGGAAACCGGGAUUAAUGCCUUAUGAUACCUCUUUACCGCAUGGUAGAGAAGUUAAAGCGUAAAGCGGUGAGAGAUGGUCUCGCGUCCCAUUAGUUAGUUGGUGAGGUAAUGGCUCACCAAGACCGCGAUGGGUAGCCGGCCUGAGAGGGUGAACGGCCACACUGGAACUGAGACACGGUCCAGACUCCUACGGGAGGCAGCAGUGGGGAAUCUUGCACAAUGGGCGAAAGCCUGAUGCAGCGACGCCGCGUGAAUGAUGAAGGCCUUCGGGUCGUAAAAUUCUGUCCUAAGGGAAGAUAAUGACGGUACCUUAGGAGGAAGCACCGGCUAACUACGUGCCAGCAGCCGCGGUAAUACGUAGGGUGCAAGCGUUGUCCGGAAUUACUGGGCGUAAAGGGUUCGCAGGCGGCCUUUUAAGUCAGGCGUUAAAGAUCAUGGCUCAACCAUGGUAUGCGCUUGAAACUGAAAGGCUUGAGUCAAGGAGAGGAAAGUGGAAUUCCUAGUGUAGCGGUGAAAUGCGUAGAUAUUAGGAGGAAUACCAGUGGCGAAGGCGACUUUCUGGACUUGUACUGACGCUGAGGAACGAAAGCAUGGGUAGCAAACGGGAUUAGAUACCCUGGUAGUCCAUGCCGUAAACGAUGAGUGCUAGGUGUCGGGUGUCAAAGCUCGGUGCCGCAGUUAACGCA
rnacentral:rRNA from 1 species